rnacentral:rRNA from 1 species
UGGGGAAUAUUGCACAAUGGGCGCAAGCCUGAUGCAGCCAUGCCGCGUGUGUGAAGAAGGCCUUCGGGUUGUAAAGCACUUUCAGCGGGGAGGAAGGCGAUAAGGUUAAUAACCUUGUCGAUUGACGUUACCCGCAGAAGAAGCACCGGCUAACUCCGUGCCAGCAGCCGCGGUAAUACGGAGGGUGCAAGCGUUAAUCGGAAUGACUGGGCGUAAAGCGCACGCAGGCGGCCUGUCAAGUCGGAUGUGAAAUCCCCUGGCUUAACCUGGGAACUGCAUUCGAAACUGGCAGGCUAGAGUCUUGUAGAGGGGGGUAGAAUUCCAGGUGUAGCGGUGAAAUGCGUAGAGAUCUGGAGGAAUACCGGUGGCGAAGGCGGCCCCCUGGACAAAGACUGACGCUCAGGUGCGAAAGCGUGGGGAGCAAACAGG